rnacentral:rRNA from 1 species
AUUGAACGCUGGCGGUAUGCUUAACACAUGCAAGUCGAACGAUGAGAAAGAGCUUGCUCUUUCGAUUAGUGGCGGACGGGUGCGUAACGCGUAGGAAUCUACCUAUUAGUGGGGGACAACUUAGGGAAACUUAAGCUAAUACCGCAUACGCCCUACGGGGAAAGAAGGGGAUCGCAAGACCUUUUGCUAAUAGAUGAGCCUGCGUAGGAUUAGCUAGUUGGUGGGGUAAAAGCUCACCAAGGCGACGAUCCUUAACUGGUUUGAGAGAAUGAUCAGUCACACUGGAACUGAGACACGGCCCAGACUCCUACGGGAGGCAGCAGUGGGGAAUAUUGGACAAUGGGCGAAAGCCCGAUCCAGCAAUACCGCGUGUGUGAAGAAGGCCUUAGGGUUGUAAAGCACUUUCAAUUGGAAGGAAAACCUCGAAGCUAAUACCUUCGAGUUUGACAUUACCUUUAGAAGAAGCACCGGCUAACUCCGUGCCAGCCGCCGCCGUAA